AUUGAACGCUGGCGGCAGGCUUAACACAUGCAAGUCGAGCGGAGUGAUGGUGCUUGCACUAUCACUUAGCGGCGGACGGGUGAGUAAUGCUUAGGAAUCUGCCUAUUAGUGGGGGACAACAUCUCGAAAGGGAUGCUAAUACCGCAUACGUCCUACGGGAGAAAGCAGGGGAUCACUUGUGACCUUGCGCUAAUAGAUGAGCCUAAGUCGGAUUAGCUAGUUGGUGGGGUAAAGGCCUACCAAGGCGACGAUCUGUAGCGGGUCUGAGAGGAUGAUCCGCCACACUGGGACUGAGACACGGCACAGACUCCUACGGGAGGCAGCAGUGGGGAAUAUUGGACAAUGGGGGGAACCCUGAUCCAGCCAUGCCGCGUGUGUGAAGAAGGCCUUAUGGUUGUAAAGCACUUUAAGCGAGGAGGAGGCUCUUUUGGUUAAUACCCAAGAUGAGUGGACGUUACUCGCAGAGUAAGCACCGGCUAACUCUGUGCCAGCCGCCGCGGUAA
rnacentral:rRNA from 1 species